rnacentral:lncRNA from 1 species
CGUCAAUCCGUGAUUUUUACAGAGCCUCUCUCGGCCGGGAAAGAAAAGGAGGAGUGGAGUGGAGCCUCCCCGCGACAAGUUCGAGAUUCAGCCCAUUCCGAACAGCACAUAGUCGAGCUUUCUCUUGCGCCUUGCUGGUUCGUGGUCUCGUACCAAGCCCAGACAAGAGCUCUCCCGCUCGAGUCAAGUUUCGCGGGAAACGAGCGAGAACGCAUCAGAAAAACAAUCCUGACCUGGGGAAUGUGUAGGAUAGAGAGGCAUGUAGGGCUCAAGGUUAAUUUUAGGAGGUCGUGCUGAGUAUACGUUUGUUGCACAGACUGGACAGAAACCUAAUCUAGGGGACAAGAUGCAGCGCGGUGGGAGAGAGGCUGCGAAGCAACGUUACUGUGUGGUGCACCAUGGAGGCUUCCUGUGAAAAAGGAAUGCAGGAAACUACCGCUGGACACGCACGGCGUCUUGGAUUUCUUUCAGGACUAUAUCGCAAUCGAUUGCAACAGGGGAACGAAGGUUCCCCUGUACAUGUCGUCGAGCCAGCGGAAAGCACAAUCCGGAAUCUCUUGGGUUUUUCCCCUUCUUGAUGGUCCAAGUGAGUGUAGGGAUCACUACGGAUUCCUACGAGCACAGCUCAAGACAGGGUUGUUCAUUCGCUGCUGCCUUCAAAUCUUCGCUCCGUGUGUCAACCGGGGGCUUUCUCCCGUUCCCUUCUCGUGGAAGCUUUUAGAAUCCACAGCUGGAAAAGGCUGUCCCUCCUAGUUUGUCUUCGUUUCUGUGCCAACCGCUACUUCGCCGUCCGCUAGGUUCUCGGACACGCCGAGACGUAAAGGUGAGCGAAGUCCGGGGGAUGCCUUCCGUGCCGCUCAGAACAAUCCGGCAACUUCAUGAAGAAUCCACGUUGGACCCUCAGAAAAAGCAGCCGGUCGUUAGACACAUCGGUUGCAAGUUCGAGUCAACUGGAAUGGGAAGACCCUCCGAUCAGGACCUCAAGGACGUGCCACAGCAAGGAUAUGGACCAUUUCUGUUUCCCACAUAGAGCAUCCAGAGCAGUGCCCUUGUCAAGAGGUGCUCCCGGCAAAAAUCAUGACGGAG